GAUGAACGCUAGCUACAGGCUUAACACAUGCAAGUCGAGGGGAAACGAUAGAGAAAGCUUGCUUUUUCUAGGCGUCGACCGGCGCACGGGUGAGUAACGCGUAUCCAACCUGCCCAUCACUUGGGGAUAACCUUGUGAAAGUAAGACUAAUACCCAAUGACGUCUCUAGAAGACAUCUGAAAGAGAUUAAAGAUUUAUCGGUGAUGGAUGGGGAUGCGUCUGAUUAGCUUGUUGGCGGGGUAACGGCCCACCAAGGCGACGAUCAGUAGCCGGUCUGAGAGGAUGAACGGCCACACUGGAACUGAGACACGGUCCAGACUCCUACGGGAGGCAGCAGUGGGGAAUCUUCCGCAAUGGGCGAAAGCCUGACGGAGCAACGCCGCGUGAGUGAUGACGGCCUCGGUUGGUAACUUCUUUAAGUAGGGAAGAGGACAGAAGACGGUACCGUCUAGAAUAAGACCACGGCUAACUACGUAG
rnacentral:rRNA from 1 species